CACUGGCCCUAGAGCUGUCGGCGCCUUCCCUUUUCCUCUCCCCAUGUGUAGCCACAGGCUUCGGCAGCCAUCCUCCGUCGAACCCUGGUCCUCUGCAGGCCUCUCCCCGUGACACAAAGUCCUUGCCCCGGCCCUGCACUUAAUAGGUCCUUGCCAAGAAUACGCUGAGCUAGAUUUCAGAAGUUUAUUUAUUAGGGAGGGAAGAGGUAUAAAGAAACUUCAGUUAUCUGAUACAAGCUCAGUAGGGGCAGGUCUCUGUCACUAUCACACACAAGGAGGGAUGAAUUGCAAGAGGAGGAUUUUCAUGAUGGAGAGAAAAGAAGAUACCCUCUUUGGAAUCCAAGUACACUCAGCUAGUAUUUUCCAUCAUUUUGGAACCUAAUUUUCCCAUGAGACUUCCUAAAGGAAAGAAUCAGAAUCAACAUUUCAUGAAUAAAAUGCCAGAACUACAAAA
rnacentral:lncRNA from 1 species